GCUCAGAUUGAACGCUGGCGGAAUGCUUUACACAUGCAAGUCGAGCGGCAGCGCGGGGCAACCUGGCGGCGAGCGGCGAACGGGUGAGUAAUGCAUCGGAACAUGUCCAUGUCGUGGGGGAUAGCCCGGCGAAAGCCGGAUUAAUACCGCAUAAGCCCGAGAGGGGAAGGUGGGGGACCGCAAGGCCUCACGCGAUUGGGUUGGCCGAUGUCCGAUUAGCUAGUUGGCGGGGUAAGAGCCCACCAAGGCGAUGAUCGGUAGCUGGUCUGAGAGGAUGAUCAGCCACACUGGGACUGAGACACGGCCCAGACUCCUACGGGAGGCAGCAGUGGGGAAUUUUGGACAAUGGGGGCAACCCUGAUCCAGCCAUUCCGCGUGAGUGAAGAAGGCCUUCGGGUUGUAAAGCUCUUUUGUCCGGAACGAAACGGUUACGGUGAAUACCCGUGACUACUGACGGUACCGGAAGAAUAAGCACCGGCUAACUACGUGCCAGCAGCCGCGGUAAUACGUAGGGUGCGAGCGUUAAUCGGAAUUACUGGGCGUAAAGCGUGCGCAGGCGGUUUUGUAAGCCAGAUGUGAAAUCCCCGGGCUUAACCUGGGAAUGGCAUUUGGGACUGCAAGGCUAGAGUGCGGCAGAGGAGACUGGAAUUCCUGGUGUAGCAGUGAAAUGCGUAGAUAUCAGGAGGAAUACCGAUGGCGAAGGCAGGUCUCUGGGCUGACACUGACGCUCAUGCACGAAAGCGUGGGGAGCAAACAGGAUUAGAUACCCUGGUAGUCCACGCCCUAAACGAUGUCGACUGGUUGUUGGGGGUUUGACACUCUCAGUAACGAAGCUAACGCGUGAAGUCGACCGCCUGGGGGAGUACGGCCGCAAGGUUAAAACUCAAAGGAAUUGACGGGGACCCGCACAAGCGGUGGAUUAUGUGGAUUAAUUCGAUGCAACGCGAAAAACCUUACCCUACCCUUGACAUGUCCCGGAGCCCGGUGAAGAGCCUGGGGUUGUUGCCCGAAAGGUAACCGGGAACACAGGUGCUGCAUGGCUGUCGUCAGCUCGUGUCGUGAGAUGUUGGGUUAAGUCCCGCAACGAGCGCAACCCUUGUCAUUAGUUGCUACAUUCAGUUGGGCACUCUAGUGAGACUGCCGGUGACAAACCGGAGGAAGGUGGGGAUGACGUCAAGUCCUCAUGGCCCUUAUGGGUAGGGCUUCACACGUAAUACAAUGGCGCGUACAGAGGGUUGCCAAGCCGCGAGGUGGAGCCAAUCCCACAAAGCGCGUCGUAGUCGGGAUAGCAGUCUGCAACUAGAAUGCAAAAAGUCGGAAUCGCUAGUAAUCGCGGAUCAGCAUGUCGCGGUGAAUACGUUCCCGGGUCUUGUACACACCGCCCGUCACACCAUGGGAGUGGGUUUCACCAGAAGCCGGUCGCCUAACCGCAAGGAGGGCGCCGACCACGGUGAGAUUCAUGACUGGGGUGAAGUC
rnacentral:rRNA from 1 species